CUGCGUUUCCUUGACAACCAUGGGUUCUGAGUGCCUACGUUAUGGGACUGUUGGCCAUCGGUGGGGAAACUGAGGAGCAAAUACUCCAGUGAGUGUCCUGAGGUUCUUGCUGCCCACAGCAGCAGAGUCAGGAUCCAAACCCAAGUCUAUCCAACUUGACAGCUGGACCAGUCCAUCCACACAAAAUGAGUUACCACCAGCCUCAGGCGGAAGCCUCGGCUUUUCAUCGUCUCUAGUCAUGAGGCUGAAAUCCAGGAGGAGCCAUCCCGAGGAACCCUGACAAGGUGAAGCCAAGUCCUAAGAGAAAUAGCUUGCAGACAGAGCUCAUCUUAGUAGGGUAGGAACUUUCCCUGGCCACUGGAAAUCAGGCUUGAUCUCAAUCGCUCUGUGUUUUUCCUUGGUAGAAGACCCAGGUAACUAAG